ACGCGCGCGGUCUCGCGCAGGGCGGGGAGAGGCGGCGGCCCCCGGCGGCCGGCCCCGAACCUGUCAGACUCGGGAAGCCGGCCUGGAGUUGCGGGCGCGGCAGGCGCGAGGACGGCCCCGCUCCCCGCCCGGCCCCGGGCCGAGCUGCGCGAGUCGGCCCCGCCGAGCCGGCCGGCCGGGGGCGGGGAGAUGAGCGGCGGCCCCGCGGCAGCGCCCCAGGAUGGGGAGGGACGCGCGGCAGUGCCAUCGGGAACUGGCUCUCCGGUGAAGUAGGAGCCGCCGGCCGGCCGCCUGCACCGAGCCAUUCCGCGCCGCGGCCGCUCAGCCUCUGCCAUGGCCGGAUCCGGCGCGUGGAAGCGUCUCAAAUCUCUGCUACGGAAGGAUGAUGCGCCGCUGUUUUUAAAUGACACCAGCGCCUUUGACUUCUCGGACGAGGUGGGGGACGAGGGGCUUUCUCGGUUUAACAAACUUCGAGUUGUGGUGGCCGAUGAUGGUUCUGAAAUCCCAGAAAGGCCUGUUAACGGGGCGCACCCGGCCCUCCAGGCCGACGAUGAUUCCUUACUGGACCAGGACUUACCUUUGACCAACAGUCAGCUGAGUCUGAAGGUGGACCCCUGUGACAACUGCAGCAGACAGCGAGAGUUACUGAAGCAGAGAAAGGUGAAAACCAGGUUGACCAUUGCUGCCGUUCUUUACUUGCUUUUCAUGAUUGGAGAACUUGUAGGUGGAUACAUUGCAAAUAGCCUAGCAAUCAUGACAGAUGCACUUCAUAUGUUAACUGACCUAAGUGCUAUCAUACUGACCCUGCUUGCUUUGUGGCUGUCCUCAAAAUCUCCAACCAAAAGAUUCACCUUUGGAUUUCAUCGCUUAGAGGUUUUAUCAGCUAUGAUUAGUGUGCUCUUGGUGUAUAUACUUAUGGGAUUCCUCCUAUAUGAAGCUGUCCAAAGAACUAUCCAUAUGAAAUAUGAAAUAAAUGGAGAUAUAAUGCUCAUCACUGCAGCUGUUGGAGUUGCUGUUAAUGUAAUAAUGGGGUUUCUAUUGAACCAGUCUGGUCACCACGCCCAUUCCCACUCUCUGCCUUCGAAUUCUCCUACCGUAGGUUCUGGGUGCAGACACAACCAUGGGCAGGACAGCCUAGCAGUGAGAGCUGCAUUUGUACAUGCCUUGGGGGAUUUGGUACAGAGUGUUGGUGUACUAAUAGCUGCAUACAUCAUACGAUUCAAGCCAGAAUACAAGAUUGCCGAUCCCAUCUGUACAUAUGUAUUUUCAUUACUUGUGGCUUUCACAACAUUUCGUAUCAUAUGGGACACAAUAGUUAUAAUACUAGAAGGUGUACCAAGCCAUUUGAAUGUAGACUAUAUCAAAGAAGCCUUGAUGAAAAUAGAAGAUGUAUAUUCAGUGGAAGAUUUAAAUAUCUGGUCUCUCACUUCAGGAAAACCUACUGCCAUAGUACACAUACAGCUAAUUCCUGGAAGUUCAUCUAAAUGGGAAGAAGUACAGUCCAAAGCAAAGCAUGUGUUAUUGAACACAUUUGGCAUGUAUAAAUGUACUAUUCAGCUUCAGAGUUACAGGCAAGAAGUGGACAGAACUUGUGCACAUUGUCAGAGUUCCAGUUCCUAAUUUUAUAUGUUUUGGGGACCACUGCCUUAUUUAUCCUGCAGUCACAGACCUGAGAGCAAUAAAUGUGCACACCUGAAAGAGAAAAUGGAAUCCCUGACAGCUGUGUCCAUAUCAAGCACCUGUAUCUCAAAACAAUCACUCUAGCCUGAGAGUGCUACUUUCUGUUUAAUGGUAAAAGGAGACUUCACCAUGGUUUUCAGAUGAAGAUGUUUCCAAAACACUAUUUAUAGAAUGAGACGUGACUCUACGGAUACCUCAAAGAAGACAAUCCAAGACCACAUUUCACUAACUGUGACAGAGUACAUGUCUUAAAGGGAGCAUCAAGAAUUCAGUAUUUGCAUUUAAAAAUCCUUUUUAAGGACCAUUUUUUAUCAAGCUAGUGCUGGAAAACUGAUUUUUUUUUAUUAGGUAAUCUUGACAGCCAGCUUCUGGAAUUUGACACCCAGUUAUGUUUUUACAGAAAUUAUUUCUCAACAGAUUUCAGAGAAUACUAGAAAUUAUCCAGAUAGUGGAAUAAGCAUGUAUUCCUAAGUGUUUCAGAAAUGUUUUAUUUCACAAAUAAUGUUAUUAUAGUUAUACUUUAUAAACAACUUUUUCCAGAUGUUACAGGGUUUUGAAUCUCAAAGUUAUCAUUUUGGUUAUUUGUAAUCUUAAUCAGAACCAAAUCUUUACAUGUUGUGGUGGUCACUGUCAUUAGGAAUAUUUAGGAAAUAUUUUCAAUACUAUUCUAAAUGGCAGAAGUUAAUCUUAAAUUACUAUAUGGUGAUUUAAAAUAUAGGAGUGAGGAUGGAGUGUGGAAUGUCAGAUUUAAGUCUUCCUGCAGUCACUUUUAUUAUUCAUGGAAUUAUCUUAAGAAUAGCAGGAGACUGCAAAAUGUAAACAAUGAUCCUCUGUCCUUGUAAGAACUGAAAGUGUGCUUGGUACCUUGCUUCCUGCCUCCAUACCAGUUAGUCUGUGCCCCUUCAGGGUAAAACUCUGGAGAGCUGUGGUUCAGUUUGUAAUGCCUAUCUUUCACAUGUAGAUUAACCACAUUCCUCCAGAGAGAAUUUGUUUGAUGAUUUGGGUUAGGGAUUCUCCACGGACUCCAGAAACCCUAAGAUAUAAUUUUGAGGUUUUCCAAUAAUACCAUAGCAGAAAUGCCCAGAGAGAUAGGGAGAAGACAUUUAAAAAGAAAGAAAACAUCAAGGGUUUUUGACCUUGUAUUUGUGUUGUUUGAAACACAGGAAUUGGGAUGGACAUUCAAUCUGUGUUGUAGGGAGGCUAAACCUGAAACUUUCCAAACCAAAUGCAACCUAAUUGGUACCAGUUGUGUUAAAGGGGUAGCUGUGAAUAAUCAGGUUUCAUUUUGCAACUGUUGGUUUUGUGAUUAUCUUUAUGCACUUUAGAAGUCUAUUUUCACAGGGACAGUUUCUUAACCAAGAAUGGAUGUGGUUCUUGAGGUUCUCAGAGAAUCAGAGUACAAUUACUAGGCAAGUUGUGAAUUAGAAGCCUAGAUAAACAUGCAGAUGACUUACAAUAUCAAAGAAGGAGAGGAAACAGAUUUCGUGUUUCUACCAAGUACCUCACUGUACGUAAACCUAAGAUAAAACCUGAAGUUCCCUAAAAGAUGAUUAAGAGUUGAUGGUAUCCCCCAAAAAAGGGUUGAUGAGGGUUAAUGGUAUCUAGUAAAACCCAGUGUUUAUUGAAUUGAAAAUUAACCUUAUGCGGUUCUUGCUGUGAAUCCAUUUAAAAUGAUUUGAAUUUUUCAAAAAUUUGAGUAGUACAUACAUAGUUUAAGUCAAAAUUCUCUUAAAUGUGUAAGGCAAAUAAGAAUAAAUGAGAAGCAUUUCAGUGGACAUCUGGGCAUUUCGGACUUUGGGUACCUAGCAAGAGAAAGGAAAAGAACAUGCAUUGUAUGCUAAUGGCUUUCCCCGUAUUUGCAGGUGUUUCCCAUGUGUCCACUGAGCUUGUUUCUUGUAAACUUUCCUUUAUCCUAAAUAGGCGUAUCUUACUUUUCAUAUCGACCUGUUCCUUGAAAAAGUUAUGUGAUAAAACAGUCUGAAAUUCAUUUGAGGAUUGAAAAGGAUUUUUUGUAAAAUGCAGAAACAGUGAAAACUUUUAUAAAUUUUAGUGAGUGUGCUUUGUUUAAGUGAGGUACAUGAAGUUCCCUGUGCUUUGUCUUUUGUAGCAAGGACUACACAUUUUGUACUUGUGCUUUCCUGGGGCUGAGAUUGAAAAUUGAUAGAUUUCACUUUUUGUAACUUGACAAAACCCACACAGGACGAUGUGAACUUAGCAGUUAGGGCCAGGGACUGCACGACAGAAGCCACAGAGCCUUGGGUCUGUCCCUACCCUGCUGAGCUGCAACCCUGAGACACACCCCUCAGACAGCCCUCACAGGAAGAGUUCUCCACUGUCCUGACACAGGCGCUGGGUAAUUUUGGAUAAACACUUUGCAUUGUUAAUUUUGCACUGAGAAAACAGAUCACAACCUAAAAACUGGGCAGUUCUUCAGUGUGAUUUUUUUUUGUUUGUUUGUUUUUAAGUAAGCUCCACAAAGCGUGGAGCCCAGUGCCAGGCUUGAACUCCCAUCCCUGAGAUCGAGACCUGAGCUGACAUCAAGAAUUGGACAGUUAAUCAACUGAUGCACCCAGGUGCCCCCAGUUUGAUGUAUUUUAAUUAACAUUUGCAAAUAAUCAGAGUUACUUGUAUAUAUAAACCUGUCAAAACUCUGGCCAGAGGCAGCAUUUUGAUUUAUUUUAGGAAAAGACCUAUUUUUCAUUAACGACCAUGCUGCCUUACAAACCUAAUGUGAGGAAUAUAGUUGAAUAGGGCAUCUUUCAGAGAGCUUUGAAAUGUAGAACCAUUUCAAAUAGAAUUCCCACAUACACUUCCCAUUAGCUGUGCCUUGUGUAAUGUGAGCCCAGAUUUUUGCAGCUUGCAGCUCCUGUCAGUAUUGUUUGCCAAAUCACAGGCUCUCUUAUUUUACUGUUUUCAAGUUUGGGUACUUUAUUUCCAUUUUCUAAAACUAAGUUUCCUGCUCUUAAAAGUCUCAGUGUUCUGGUUCUGUGUCUUGAACCCAGGUGUCCUCACUGACAGUGUUUGUUUUUAGUAGAAUUUUCCCAGAAUAGACACAGGCAAGAUCAGACACAUGAGCUUCCCUUUUGUUUAAAUGUGAGGAAAACCAUCUUUCAGAAACAAAGCACCACUUAUAAACUUUUUCUUCGUGAGGAAGAACCCUUUUUUUAAACAGCUGAUUGUUCUUGAUCCAGAUUUCUCUUGGACACUGAACUUUACAGUAUAAGUAUGAUAGAAAUAGACUACAGUAUACAACCAUAAGUGAAGAUUCUCUCUAAUAAGACUGGAUUGUGUUUCUUAAACAACUACUCUCACCACUUUAGAAGAGAUAGUCAUUCACUUUUGAAACAAGCACAAUGAGGUAAAUUUAUUUUCUUUUUAUGAAUUUAUGUGAAUUGGUUCACGAUAAUGAAUAAGGUGUGUUUUUACAGAAUCUGAGCCCUAUUGGAAUAAGAUUUUAGGCAAUUUUCCUGUUGACUCUACCUUACAUAUAGUAAAUUUAAAGUUACAGAAUGUGUUAAUAGAUGUAAGAUUAGUUCCUUUGGCUUGGUUUCUUUUUAAACCAAGCUUAGCUCAUGAGCCAGUUGAGUAUUAGUCCCAAAGAAUAGUGACACCUUGCUAUAUGCUGUGUUGAGGGGAGGUGAGUCUGAUUUCCAAAUGAUUAAGUUUUUUUGUCUCUAACCAAAACAUGAUUUGCAAACUCUAACUACAGAUCUGCCACGGGAAUCUUGCUGGAAAGGACAUCAGAUUUGUUUUACAGCUCACCAAUCAGGGAUAUUUUUUGUUAUGUUCGUAGGAGCCCGCAAAUUAGAAGAAAUUGUCGUGGGAAUUCCUCAGUAUUGAAUUGUGUAUGUGCAUUCAGGCCAUCCGAUCCUUGAAUUCCUGCUUACAAAGGGUUUACUCUGUUACGUUAUUCUUCCGAUCGUAUUGUAAAGACCAAUAUUUUCUGAUUUUUGGUAAGACUGGAAAACAUUUACGGAGACUUUCCCAAUUACAUCUAUGCGUCAAUUUAAAUAUUGCAGUUAAGUAUAUUCUGAAAAAUUGAAAUGGCCAGUAUGUCAGCUUUGCACCUGGAAGAUACCUUAUAUCUGGAAAGCUUAUGCUUCUCUAAAAAUAUAUGUUAUUAAGCCAUAUCACAGUUUAAGAAAUUGUAUAUACUUUUCCAUUUGCCCUUCCAGAAACCAGGUAUUUUGCAUACGAUUGAUUUUAGGAAGAUUUUGAAGCUGGUGUUUCUCCAUAUAAUUUAAGAUCAAGGCCCAGCAACAAUGGCAGAAAGGAAAGAGAUGCUCCCGUGAAAGUAAGAUUGGUGAGGGCCUUUGUGAAGUCUGAGAGGAAUGACCUGGUGACCCUCCGAUGGUACAGACAGGGGGGGUCAGCACACUGUGCCUCAUGGGCCGAGUCUGGCCCGCAGCCCGUUUUGCGUGGCCCAUGGAGCUGAAAAUGGUUUUUGUAUUUUUUAAUGGUUAAAAAAAAAAAAAUCAGAAGAAUGAUAUGUGAAAAUUACGUUGAACUUUAAAUUUCAGUGUAAAUAAAGUAUUCCUCAAACACAGCCACA